UUAAUAUAAUAUAAUAUGAUAUAAUUUAAUAUAAUAUAAUAAUAUAUUUACAGUACUGUGCAAAAGUUUUAAGCAGUUGUGAUAAAAUGCUGUAAACUAAGAAUGCUUUCACAAAUAUAAAUAAUGAUUAUUUGUUACACAAUGCAAAGUGAGCCAACAAAAGAAAUGUAAAUCAAUAUUUGGUGUCACACCAGCAUCAGUUCUUACAGACACACAGUCAACAUAUAGGUUGAAACAUCAUCACCACAGACAGUAACAGACAGUAACAGACAGUAACAGACAGACAGUAACAGACAGUAACAGACAGACAGACAGUAACAGACACACAGUCAACAUAUAGGUUGAAACAUCAUCACCACAGACAGUAACAGACAGUAACAGACAGACAGACAGUAACAGACACACAGUCAACAUAUAGGUUGAAACAUCAUUACCACAGACAGUAACAGACAGUAACAGACAGACAGACAGUAACAGACACACAGUCAACAUAUAGGUUGAAACAUCAUUACCACAGACAGUAACAGACAGACAGUCAGUAACAGACAGACAGACAGUAACAGACAGUAACAGACAGACAGUAACAGACAGUAACAGACAGACAGUCAGUAACAGACAGUAACAGACAGACAGACAGUAACAGACAGUAACAGACAGACAGUAACAGACAGUAACAGACAGACAGUAACAGACAGACAGUAACAGACAGUAACAGACAGUAACAGACAGUAACAGACAGACAGUAACAGACAGUAACAGACAGACAGUAACAGACAGACAGUAACAGACAGUAACAGACAGUAACAGACAGACAGUAACAGACAGACAGACAGACAGUAACAGACAGUAACAGACAGACAGUAACAGACAGACAGUAACAGACAGUAACAGACAGUAACAGACAGACAGUAACAGACAGUAACAGACAGACAGUAACAGACAGUAACAGACAGACAGUAACAGACAGUAACAGACAGUAACAGACAGACAGUAACAGACAGACAGUAACAGACAGUAACAGACAGUAACAGACAGUAACAGACAGACAGUAACAGACAGUAACAGACAGUAACAGACAGUAACAGACAGACAGUAACAGACAGUAACAGACAGUAACAGACAGUAACAGUCAGUAACAGACAGACAGUAACAGACAGACAGUAACAGACAGUAACAGACAGACAGUAACAGACAGUAACAGACAGACAGUAACAGACAGACAGAGACAGACAGACAGACAGUAACAGACAGUAACAGACAGUCAGUAACAGACAGACAGUAACAGACAGUGACAGACAGAGACAGACAGUAACAGACAGACAGUAACAGACAGACAGUAACAGACAGACAGUAACAGACAGUCAGUAACAGACAGUAACAGACAGACAGUAACAGACAGACAGUAACAGACAGUAACAGACAGUAACAGUCAGUAACAGACAGUAACAGUCAGUAACAGACAGUAACAGACAGUCAGUAACAGACAGUAACAGACAGUCAGUAACAGACAGUAACAGACAGUAACAGACAGACAGUAACAGACAGUCAGUAACAGACAGUAACAGACAGACAGUAACAGACAGACAGUAACAGACAGACAGUAACAGUCAGUAACAGACAGUAACAGUCAGUAACAGUCAGUAACAGACAGUAACAGACAGUCAGUAACAGACAGUAACAGACAGACAGUAACAGACAGUAACAGACAG